rnacentral:lncRNA from 1 species
ACUGGACAUGAUGAAGUUGCCAUCCUUGGACCAGGCAAGAGACAGGAGCGGUGGAAGAAGAGCAGCACAGCCCCAGGGAAACCGUGGAGAAGCUUGAAGAUGCAGGAGAGCAAGGUAAGCCCCACUCACUGUGUGCAACUGACUGGGUGCAAAGCCCUCCAAAUGGCUCUCCUUUCCACUGCUCUUGCAACAGCUUAAGGGAACACAGAAGUGACCAGAACUAUCAGUUUCAGUGAAAUGAGGAAAAUAAUCGGGACUCAGAGCACUAAUGCUUUUUUCAGCCAUGGAGAAGCUAGGGUUUGAAUCCAGCUCUUCUGAACCUUAGACCCGAGCCGUUCGCACUGAAUCAGCCACCAGUCUCUCGGGAGUUUCCUGAGCGUUUACCAAAGCAGCAAUGCAGCGU